CGAACUUGAGUAGUAUACCCACUAAUUAAUAUACCUUCAAACAUAGGUAGGGAUAGGAAGCCAAGAACUACGAGACAUCUGAGGAAACCCGACUGUUGCAACAGGAACACAGAUGAGCACUUUGGAAGCUAAGCCCAGAGGAAAGGAUCUAUGCUGCUGGAGCAAGCACUCACAAAAUUCUAGAGGGAAGAUACUGCGCACAUGGAACAGUGCUGAGGAGAGAGACAUUUGGAUGCACAGUUGUUGAUUAAGUUUUAGUGCCCCAUGUGGAAAACAAAGUAUCAAUCUGUAAUCGACCCCAAACGAGGAAAACGCGGCAAGUAUUGGGGAGGAAUAAGCUGGC
rnacentral:lncRNA from 1 species